GUUGCGGUGGAGUUUACCUUCCUAUAACGGGCUCUGGUUUCUUUGAAACGUCGACUCAGGCUGUUAACUCGAUCGAUGACCAGCUGCCAGGUGAGGUAGUUCUGCAUUGUUCUGAACAUAUGUCCAAAUAUUUGUACUAUCAUUUCAUUUUCUCUCUUUUUUUCCCAUCACGCUUAUACUUCUGUAUCUUGUGCUGACCGAACACUGUGUCUGGAGAGGACUUCGUUCAUCUUGUCCAGCUCGUUCAGCGUCAUCUUGUUGUAAAGUACGGUGACGUCCUGCCGCUCCUCGGCUGGCAAUGUGGCCUGGAAGGAAGAAAAUCAUCGGCGUCAUUGUGCAAAUGGUGCAAGGUCCAACACUUGCAUCAUCUCCUCCCACACACCCUCAUCAUCCUGUGUCAAGUUCCUGUCUUCCCGGGUCAUCUUGGCGAUGGAGACCAUGAAGUGGAGGU